GACAUAGUGAAGCUGCGACAGAAGUGUGAGUGUAAACAGAGACAGAGGGAUUCACCUCCACAAAGUAACGAACAUGAACUGGAGAAUCUGGCUUCUGUUCCUCAGCCCUCAGGGUCUUAGCAGGGAUGUUCUAGUAAUAAAGUGGACAUCGAGUGUCUCAACAAACCCAAACCAUCACCCCUCCACCACCAUGCUUCACACUUGGUUUAAUCUGCUUUAUAGCUCUAUAGGUGACAUGAUGUUGCUUUUGGGGUUUUAUUUAUAUAACUGAACAUUAAACAGUCUGACAUUGGACUGAAUUUGCUGAGACGCUCACUAAUGAAACAUACAGAGCAGCUGUAUUAAAGGUUCUCCUCACAUGUAAACAGUCCUUCUAACUGUAGAAUGGUGAAUCCUGACUUCUGGCUGUUGUCCUUUUCUCCUUGGUAUGAUGUAGACACACACCCGAGUGCUCGAGAGCACCAAACUGACCAAAGUUCUGCUUUUAUACACGUAGUCACACCUCACUGAUGAUGAUAUAAUGUUGUGUAUUUCAUUAGUAACCUGCCUGCUAAUUACUCUGCAGAAAGUAGGAAGGGUUGUACUUUGGGAAAAAAUUAUUAUCUGAGGUUAUUUGUUUCUUUAUAAAUGUUAAUAAACACACAAUUAUUAUUUAGGCUCUGAUACAUAAAAAUAUAGAAUUGAAGUUAGGUGAAUGCACUGGUUUUAUCACCUCAAAGGUUUUUUUUAGAUGCCUGUAAUGUUCUAUUUUUAUAUUUAUUUUUUUAUUACUUUUUUUUUUUUUUUUUUUACAAUCCUUAGUGUGAUACUUAAAUGUGAAUCUCUUGUCUUCAUGUUUGCUUCUCCAAUAUAAUUGUUUGUAUUAUUUAAUUGGCAGGAAUUAUGAAUUGAUUUAUUAAUUAAUUGGCUAUUUUGUGACAUAUUAUAGAGUACAGAUAAGGAUUUAAACUCUGUCAUUUUAAAACAUUUAUUUUAUUGUUUUAUUCAUCUGACACAUUCACCUUUAUUUAUGACACGAUAGUCCGUUAUUGGACAUCUGUGUAUAAAUAUUCAGGGAUAACAAAGUUUUCUCUUCGUUUAUUGCAUCUUAGGGAGCUCAGAAAUUAUAUUUUUAUAUACAGAGCAAAACAAUCAGUAUACAUAUUAUCUAAGUAUUUCAUGUAAGAGUGAUGAGUGACAGGUACGAAAAGUAAAAAAAAUUAUAUAUAUAUUUCUAAUUGUGUAUACCGUUCAUUACGGGAAGUUUAAAAAAUCAGAAGGAACCAUAAUGUUCUGUGUGUUAAAACACUGAAUUUUUAAUAUAAAUUGUUUUGUAAAUGUAUAUAGAGUUCUUUUCUUUUACUUUUUAUAUGAAUCGGAGUGUACAGAAUAAUAUUUUGUGUAAGAGAAAUACAGUAUUUCAUGUUGCUUUUGUUCUACUUUAUUAUUGUUACUAAAUCUGAUGUACUGGAUAUAUAAUAUAUUCAGCCAUAUGAAG